rnacentral:rRNA from 1 species
GUAGGUGGCAAGCGUUGUCCGGAAUUAUUGGGCGUAAAGCGCGCGCAGGUGGUUCUUUAAGUCUGAUGUGAAAGCCCCCGGCUCAACCGGGGAGGGUCAUUGGAAACUGGGGAACUUGAGUGCAGGAGAGGAAAGUGGAAUUCCACGUGUAGCGGUGAAAUGCGUAGAUAUGUGGAGGAACACCAGUGGCGAAGGCGACUUUCUGGCCUGUAACUGACACUGAGGCGCGAAAGCGUGGGGAGCAAACAGGGAUUAGAUACCCUGGUAGUCCACGCCGUAAACGAUGAGUGCUAAGUGUUGGGGGGGUUUCCCGCCCCUCAGUGCUGCAGCUAACGCAUUUAGCACUCCGCCUGGGGAUACGGUCGCAAGACUG